rnacentral:rRNA from 1 species
UUGAUCAUGGCUCAGAUUGAACGCUGGCGGCAGGCCUAACACAUGCAAGUCGAACGGUAACAGGAAGCAGCUUGCUGCUUUGCUGACGAGUGGCGGACGGGUGAGUAAUGUCUGGGAAACUGCCUGAUGGAGGGGGAUAACUACUGGAAACGGUAGCUAAUACCGCAUAACGUCGCAAGACCAAAGAGGGGGACCUUCGGGCCUCUUGCCAUCGGAUGUGCCCAGAUGGGAUUAGCUAGUAGGUGGGGUAACGGCUCACCUAGGCGACGAUCCCUAGCUGGUCUGAGAGGAUGACCAGCCACACUGGAACUGAGACACGGUCCAGACUCCUACGGGAGGCAGCAGUGGGGAAUAUUGCACAAUGGGCGCAAGCCUGAUGCAGCCAUGCCGCGUGUAUGAAGAAGGCCUUCGGGUUGUAAAGUACUUUCAGCGGGGAGGAAGGGAGUAAAGUUAAUACCUUUGCUCAUUGACGUUACCCGCAGAAGAAGCACCGGCUAACUCCGUGCCAGCAGCCGCGGUAAUACGGAGGGUGCAAGCGUUAAUCGGAAUUACUGGGCGUAAAGCGCACGCAGGCGGUUUGUUAAGUCAGAUGUGAAAUCCCCGGGCUCAACCUGGGAACUGCAUCUGAUACUGGCAAGCUUGAGUCUCGUAGAGGGGGGUAGAAUUCCAGGUGUAGCGGUGAAAUGCGUAGAGAUCUGGAGGAAUACCGGUGGCGAAGGCGGCCCCCUGGACGAAGACUGACGCUCAGGUGCGAAAGCGUGGGGAGCAAACAGGAUUAGAUACCCUGGUAGUCCACGCCGUAAACGAUGUCGACUUGGAGGUUGUGCCCUUGAGGCGUGGCUUCCGGAGCUAACGCGUUAAGUCGACCGCCUGGGGAGUACGGCCGCAAGGUUAAAACUCAAAUGAAUUGACGGGGGCCCGCACAAGCGGUGGAGCAUGUGGUUUAAUUCGAUGCAACGCGAAGAACCUUACCUGGUCUUGACAUCCACGGAAGUUUUCAGAGAUGAGAAUGUGCCUUCGGGAACCGUGAGACAGGUGCUGCAUGGCUGUCGUCAGCUCGUGUUGUGAAAUGUUGGGUUAAGUCCCGCAACGAGCGCAACCCUUAUCCUUUGUUGCCAGCGGUCCGGCCGGGAACUCAAAGGAGACUGCCAGUGAUAAACUGGAGGAAGGUGGGGAUGACGUCAAGUCAUCAUGGCCCUUACGACCAGGGCUACACACGUGCUACAAUGGCGCAUACAAAGAGAAGCGACCUCGCGAGAGCAAGCGGACCUCAUAAAGUGCGUCGUAGUCCGGAUUGGAGUCUGCAACUCGACUCCAUGAAGUCGGAAUCGCUAGUAAUCGUGGAUCAGAAUGCCACGGUGAAUACGUUCCCGGGCCUUGUACACACCGCCCGUCACACCAUGGGAGUGGGUUGCAAAAGAAGUAGGUAGCUUAACCUUCGGGAGGGCGCUUACCACUUUGUGAUUCAUGACUGGGGUGAAGUCGUAACAAGGUAACCGUAGGGGAACCUGCGGUUGGAUCACCUCCUUA